rnacentral:rRNA from 1 species
GACGAACGCUGGCGGCAUGCCUAAUACAUGCAAGUAGAACAGUUGCGAACGGGUGAGUAACGCGUAGGUAACUGCCUCAUAGCGGGGGAUAACUAUUGGAAACGAUAGCUAAUACCGCAUACUGUGAGAUGGACCUGCGUUGUAGUAGCUAGUUGGUGAGGUAAAGGCUAACCAAGGCGACGAUACAUAGCCGAACUGAGAGGGUGAUCGUCCACACUGGGACGGAGACACGGCCCAGACUCCGCCGGGAGGCAGAAGUAGGGAAUCUUCGGCAAUGGACGGAAGUCGGAGCGAGCAACGCCGCGUGAGGUAAGAAGGUUUUCGGAGCGUAAAGCUCUGUUGUUAGUGACGCGGUAACUAACAAGACAGGGACGGCUAACUACGUGCCAGCAGCCGCGGUAAUUC